UACGUAGGGGGCUAGCGUUGUCCGGAAUCAUUGGGCGUAAAGCGCGUGUAGGCGGUCCGGUAAGUCCGCUGUGAAAGUCGGGGGCUCAACCCUCGGAUGCCGGUGGAUACUGUCGGGCUUGAGUACGGAAGAGGCGAGUGGAAUUCCUGGUGUAGCGGUGAAAUGCGCAGAUAUCAGGAGGAACACCAAUUGCGAAGGCAGCUCGCUGGGACGUUACUGACGCUGAGACGCGAAAGCAUGGGGGAGC
rnacentral:rRNA from 1 species